AUGAUGGUGCUUGGAAGGAGCAUACUUAUGCCAGUCAAAGCAAAGAGGGGAUGCGAUGAACAUGGGUUGAUAAGAAAUGCUAUAAAGGCGCAGGGAAGGGUCAUCUACUCAGCCUACACUGCUUCCGCAUCCACACACAACACACGCGCACGCACACGCCUGCAAUUUGUCCCAGCAAUGGAGAUGGAGGCGGCUCCGGUGAGCGCAGUGACGGGGGCCCUCAAACCCGUCCUGGGGAAGCUGGCCACGCUGAUGGGCGACGAGUACAAGCGCCUCGAGACAGCACGCGGCGAGGAGAUCAAAUCCCUCGCCGACGAGCUCUCCGCCAUGGACGCGGCUCUGCUGGACAUGUCGGGGGAGGAGGACCCUGAUGCGCAGGACAAGGCGUGGAUGAACGAGGCGCGGGAGCUCUCCUAUGACAUGGAAGACUUCAUCGAUGACUUCAUGCAAACGAUCCACGACGGGGAUGUGAAGCCGGACCACGACCUCUUCAUGGAGAAGAUGAAGGAUUUGCUGGGGAAGAUGAAGGCCCGUCGUCGGACCGGCGAUGGUUUCAAGGAACAGAUCAACAGGGUGAGCAACAGAGAUGGAAGGUACGAGACCCGUGGGACAUUCUCCAACAACGUCCAUGCAACUGUUGACCCUGCAGCUAUUGCCAUGUUUGAGCUCUUGACGAAGCAAGAUGGGCCCAAAGCUGAGGUGAUCAAGUUGCUCACUCAAGAUGAGGCUGACUGUGAGCCACAGCUGGCUGAAGUGGAUUGUGGACAUGAGUCAUUGCUGGCUGAAGAGGAGGGCGAAUGUGGGUCCAAGCCGGCUGAAGACGAGGACGGAUCUGAGUUGCCAUUGGUUGAAGAGGAGGAUGGAUGUGAGUCACCGCUCACUGACAAGGACUUACGCGAGUCUCUGCAGGUGGAAGAAGUAGAAGACCAGUGUGAGUCACCCAAGGUGGAAGAGGAAGAAGAGGAAGAAGUAGAAGAAGAGUGUGAGUCACCGAAGGUGGAAGAGGAGGAUGUAUGUGAGCCAGCGCCUGCUGAAGAAGACGAGUGUGAGUCGCCACAGGCAGAAGAGGAGGCCCCAUGUGAGUUGAGAACACGAAAACAACCCAAGCUGGUCGCCAUUGUUGGAGCCGGAGGAACAGCUCUUGCGAACCGAGUGUAUGAAGAGCUCAGAGUAAAAGAUUUUGACUACUGGCCUUUUAUAUCAAUGUCGCCAAAUCCAGACAUGACAAGUACCCUGACAGCACUUCUCCUUGAACUUACCGGUGAAUUAAAAAAAGAAGCAAGCGUGCAACAACUGAUUAUUGAUAUCAAUGAAUCGCUACUAGACAAAAGAUACUUAAUUGUCCUUGACGGUAUAUGCCAGAAAGAAACAUGGGAUGUCAUUAAGCAUGCAUUCCCCAUGACAAGCUGUGGCAUAAUAAUCACCACUAGCCCGUGUGAAGAUAUCGCCGAAUUAUGCCGGUCAUGGUUCAAUGGGCAUAUUUACCAUAUAAGACCUCUUGGUAUGGUACAUUCAAGACCGCUAUUUCACCAAAGAUUAUUCAACUCUGAUGACGACUGCCAUCCACACCUUGAAGAAGUUUCUGAUAAAAUAUUGGAAAAAUGUGAUGACUUACCUUUGGCAAUCUUAGUUACAUCUGGUUUGUUGGCUAACACAGAAAAAACAGAGCAUCUAUGGAAUCACAUGGCAGAUUCAAUUGGGUGUGCACUUGAAACAAGUGAUAUAGUCGAAAGGAUGAUGAAGAUUUUGUCACUUUGUUAUUUUGAUCUUCAUCCUCGUGUCAAAACUUGUCUCUUGUACCUCAGCAUGUUCCCAAAAGCGUCAACCAUUAAGAUGAAGGACCUGAUAUGGAAAUGGACUGCUGAAGGAUUCUUUCAUGGAGAACAAAGAAAUGCAGCACAUGAGUUAGGAGAGAGGUGUUUUAAUGAGCUCCUGAAUAGGAGUUUGAUCCAGCCUGUGAAGAUAGACCAGUAUGGUAAGGUUAAAAGCUGUCAAGUUCAUGACACAGUUAUGGACUUCAUCAUAUCCAAGUCUGCCGAAGAUAACUUUGUUACUGUCGUUGGUGUUCCAUGUCCAACUAUUGAUCAGACACAAAUGAAAGUUCGUCGAUUCUCUCUCCAAGCUACAGAAGAAGGCUAUUCUUUUCCAGGGAUUAACUUGGUAUUGUCUCACGCCCGAUCACUUAAAGUAUUUGGAUUAUUGUGGACAAUCCCUUCUCUAGAUGAGUUCAAGCAUUUGCGUGUUGUGGACUUUGGAGGUUUUAGUAAUUUGGGAGACGACGAUCUUGCAAAUAUUGGGAGGUUAUUCCAGCUGAGGUACCUGAAUCUCUCUUGGACAGGAGUAUGUGAGCUCCCAGAAGAAAUAGGACAUCUAUCUUGCUUAGAGAUGUUGGACCUAACAGCCACAGGGGUAUCCAAGUUACCAUCAUCUAUAGUUAAUCUAGAAAAAUUGGUACAUCUAUUAAUCGGCGAGUUUGUUAAAUUUCCAGAAGGAGGAAUUUCGAAGAUGCAAGCACUAGAGACGUUGAAACAAGUCAGAGCCUUUAAGCAGCCAAUUCAAUUUCUUCAAGAUUUCGGCAAGCUACAGAAUCUGUGGAAGCUGAAUAUUGAUCUUACCAAUAAUCAAGAGGACACUGAAGAUACAAAGGAGUGCAUGAAAGCAAUGGCAUCUUCUCUCUAUGAACUAGGCACACACAAUCUUCGUUCUUUAACUAUCUGGAACUGUGAUUACAGCUUAUUGAUGGAAGAAUGGUGCCCGACUCCGGUUGGCCUCCAAAAACUUACGACCUGGCAGUCAACCUUUCCACGGGUUCCGGAUUGGAUGGGUUCCCUCGUCAACCUUCAGCAAUUACGGUUUGACCUGGAGAGAGUCAGGUAUGAAGAUCUCUGCAUCCUCGGAGGCUUACCUGCUCUGCUCACUCUGAGCCUAGUAGGAAAAGAAAUGUCUGAAGGGAAGCUUACUGUUAGUGGUGAAAUGGGAUUUCCAAUGUUGAGGGAUUUCACUUACGGCAUGUACCCUGGGUUAGGGAUAAAGAUGAUGUUUGAAGCAGGAUCCAUGCCCAAGCUAGAAAAGCUCAGGAUUGAUUUCACCCCAGCAACGAAUGGAUAUCUCUACAGUACCGGUGGUCUAACUGGUAGUGGUCCUUAUGAUUUCGGAAUUGAGAACCUCCCCAGCAGUCUCACGACCGUUGUAUGUGAAUGUAAGUCAUUUGAUGGAGAUUGCACUCUUGAAGCCACAAGGGCGGCCCUGGAGAGAGCAGUCAGCACACACCCCAGCUGCCCUGCUCUGGACUUCUCCAUCUACUAG
rnacentral:rRNA from 1 species